UACGUAGGGACCAAGCGUUGUUCGGAUUUACUGGGCGUAAAGGGCGCGUAGGCGGCGCGGUAAGUCACUUGUGAAAUCUCUGAGCUUAACUCAGAACGGCCAAGUGAUACUGCAGUGCUAGAGUGUGGAAGGGGCAAUCGGAAUUCUUGGUGUAGCGGUGAAAUGCGUAGAUAUGUGGAGGAACACCGAUGGCGAAGGCAGCCCCCUGGGUUAACACUGACGCUCAUGCACGAAAGCGUGGGGAGCAAACAGG
rnacentral:rRNA from 1 species